rnacentral:rRNA from 1 species
CCUACGGGAGGCUGCAGUCGGGAAUUUUGGGCAAUGGGCGAAAGCCUGACCCAGCAACGCCGCGUGAAGGAUGAAGUAUUUCGGUAUGUAAACUUCGUAAGAAUAGGAAGAAUAAAUGACGGUACUAUUUGUAAGGUCCGGCUAACUACGUGCCAGCAGCCGCGGUAAUACGUAGGGACCAAGCGUUGUUCGGAUUUACUGGGCGUAAAGGGCGCGUAGGCGGCGUGGUAAGUCAGCUGUGAAAUCUCCGAGCUUAACUCGGAACGGUCAGCUGAUACUGCUGUGCUAGAGUGCAGAAAGGGCAAUCGGAAUUCUUGGUGUAGCGGUGAAAUGCGUAGAUAUCAAGAGGAACACCUGAGGCGAAGGCGGGUUGCUAGGCUGACACUGACGCUGAGGCGCGAAAGCUAGGGUAGCAAACGGGAUUAGAUACCCCAGUAGUC